CUAAUAACUACUAAAAAGUGUUUUAAAAAACUCUUGCUGAUAUUAAGAACACCAAUCUCUAUUCUCUCCACAGAACCUAUAAAACCACACCACACAUAAAAGAAGGAAUGCCAUAUGUGACUCUCUUCUCGUCAGCACUGCUAAUCAUGAGGAUAAAGGUGCCACGUGGGACUGGAACCCACCUUCUGCCAGAAGCAAGCCUGAAUUCAUGAACUUGCCAUUUUCUUUGCUCUCCGUGGGACCUGCCAGACAGGCACCUCCGUGGAAGGACUAUUUACCCAACACCAACACCUGCCAAGGAAAACAGAAAGAAAAACAGGAGGCAAAGAAGGUGGAACGGCCCCAGCACACACAGGGAGAGGGGAAUGGAGAUGUGGUCAUCGGUCCGCGCUUACGUAAAGCAGAGGCCUUCUUUGCUUGUCUGUACGCACCGGGCUUCUCCCCAAUGGUUUCUCCUCCCACCAAGAGAAUAAACAAAAUUCAGCCUAGUCUUCUCUUCUUAUCCCUGAUGUUGAUAGAAAAAAAGGACUUUCAGAGAGGAGGGAUACAUGCACAAAGUGAGAAUGCUAUCUUUCUUCCCUUUCGCUCCAGAGAAUAGAUUGUGCCACCUUGGCUACGCCUUACAGAAUGAUCAAUACUUAGUCACAGAAAUGAGAAGCAUGUUAAACACAUCACAGCUUUUGGAGACAUUAUAUUUCACAGCUAAGUGUUCUCUGCAGAGAACCACCUGGAUGUCUCCACUCAGGAACAUUCCAGUUCAGGCAGGACUGAUGAUAACUAUUCUACACUCUCUCUGGAAUCAUAGCCACCAUCCCUUAUCUUCCACUUUCUUCUGCAGAGAUGAGCAGAGCCAGUGAGGAAGAGCACUGAACUGCCAGAGACUCUGAUUAUGGUGGAUUAAAACCAACGGAACCCUCAGAACCCUGACCUCUCUUUUUCCUCCCGCAUGAUUUAGUCUCCUCCAUGCAAUGACAUUCCACUCACAUGGUGUUGAGGGCCUCUCCUUUGGGUGUUAGACCUUGUUUCACAGGAUCCUAAAUAACUAUAACUGUAAUCCCUGGAAUGAGAAGUGUGUCUCAGAACAAGUACAUCACAGUCAGUAAAUUCCAUUUUCACUGAGGAUUUUCCUAAGUCUGUAUGAUGCUGUCAUGUAAUGCAAACUCUAGCCAGUUCCCCAAUAGGUAGCGUCUCCAGAAUACGUUUGACUAUGAAGCCCCUAUUGCUGUAGCAGAUAAGAGUAUGUACUAGUGUCAUGCUGCUAAUGUUAACUUGCAGGGAUCUCUAGGAUGACUUGCGUUAAGGUUCUGUCCUUGAUCUUAUUCUCUUCAGUAUAUUUAUCAGUAGCUUGGAUGAAGUCAUAGAAUGCGUGCUUACCAGAUAUCCCGAGGAACCAAAACUGAAAUGGAUGACAAAUUUGUUAGAUGAUGGAGUAUGCUGUCAACAAACAGACCAAUUUGUUGGCCUGGUGAUGGACCAAAUCCCACAAAGUGAAAUAUAAUCAGCGAAACUUAGAGUCCCUUCCUCAAGCCCCCAACUCAUAAGUAUGGGGUAAAGAAGAUGUGACUGUGUAGAAGAAAUACUCAGGAUCUUUAUUUGGGUGCAAGAGAGAUAUGAGAUUAUGAUGAAGAGGAUGAAGAGUUUGAAGCCACACAUAGGUUAGAGGCAAGUUUGAGGCAAAAUGAAGGCCAUUUGUGUCAUGUUUGCAAUUCUGCAAGAAGGAACACAGCUUGAGUGAAAUUAUGUCCAUAAAUACUCCAUCCUGCGAGUGAAUAGGCCGGUAUGUACAAGAAUGUGAACGGACGGCACACCCCACACUCCCAGGCUCAGUAAGUGCAGCGUGACUCACUGGAAUUGUAAUUCAGGAAUUGUUACACAUUUAAACAAUACUCAUAACAUUCUCUUCCAAAUGCUUAUCACUUAAAGUAAUUCUGGUUCAUCAACAAGUCCCAACACUUUCCUUGGCUAACGAUACCUCCCAAACUGGUGCCCAUCACUUCAUAUCUAUAAGCAAGACUUUUACUAGGAUCUCACAAAUGUACUCUUAGGAUUGUCAGCUCAUCCUGGCUUGCAUGUGUGUGUGUGUGUGUGUGUGUGUGUGUGUACGUGAGCAUUAAAGUUGUGCUUCACCUGAAUUGUGAAUAGAUGAUAUUCACAACUUAAAGUAAUCCCUUAUCGGCUACUCUUUGUUGGAGAGCCAAGACAAUAGUAAUGAUAAAAACUAACACCUGUGGAGUGUUUGUUCCGUGCCAGGCACUGUUAUAAUUGCUUAAAAUAGAUUCUUUAACUUUCACGACUCUCCAUUUCCUUCUCCCUCCGGCAACCCCUGGCAACCACCAUUCUGUUCUCCACUUCUGAGUUUGACUAUUUUAGAUACCUCAUAUAAGUAGAAUCAUACAAUAGUUGUCCUUCUGAGACUGGCUUAUUUCACUUAGCAGGAAGUCUUCCAGUUUCAUCCGUGUUGCCACAAAUGGUAGAGUUUCUUCUUUUUUUAAGGCCAAUGUUCUAUUGUAUGUACAGACCACAUUUUUUUUUAUCCAUUCAUCUGUUGAUAGACAUUAUUGUUGUUUCCAUAUCUUGGCUAUUGUAAACAAUGCUGCAAUGGGCAUGAGAGUGCAGAUUUCUCUUUGAGAUUCCAGGUUUUUUUUGGAUGCAUACGCCCAAGUGGAAUUGCUGGAUUAUACAUAGUUCCAUUUUAAUUUUUCUGAGGAACCUGUAUACUGUUCUCCAUGGGGGAACCAUUUUACAUUCCCACCAACAGUAUGCAAGGGCUCCAGUUUCUCCACAGUCUUGCCAAUACUUGUUAUCUUUUCUUUCUUGUUUGAUAAUAGCCAUCCUAACAGUUAGGAGAUGUUAUCUCAUAACCUGAUUUUUAAAAUGAGCCCAGGACUGGAUUAGACAUUUCUCCAAAGGAGGCAUACAAAUGGCCACCACUUAUAUAAAAUGUGCUCAACAUCACUAAUCAUCAGGGAAAUGCAAAUCAAAACUAAGUUAUCUCCUGUACUUGGUUUUAUCAGGACUUUUAAAAUCAAGUUUUGUUGAGGCAUAGUUUAUAAACAAUAAGAUGCACUCCUAUUAAAAGUACAGUCCAGUGAGUUCUGACAAAAGCAUACAUACUUGUAACCACCAGCAAAACUAUUUAUAAAAUAUUAUUAUCACCUUCAAAAAAUUCCCAUGGCCCCUUCACCAUAAAGUGCAAGCCCAAACGUGGCUCCAGACAACCAUUGAUCUUUCUAUCACAAUAUAUUAGGUUUAGCCUUUCAAGAGUUUCCUAUAAGUAGAAACCUACAGGAUUUCUCUCCUGUCUUCUUUUACUGAGUGUAAUGUUUUUUUCUUUUUAAAGAUUUUGUUUAUUUAUUCAUGCGACACAGAGAGAGAAAGGCAGAGACACAGGCAGAGGGAGAAGCAGGCUCUAUGUCGGGAGCCCAACAUGGGACUCGAUCCUGGGUCUCCAGGAUCACACCCUGGGCUGAAGAUGGUGCUAAACCAUUGAGCCACUCGGCCUGCCCUGAGUGUAAUGUUUUUAUGGUUCAUCAUGUUGUGUGUACAAAUAUUUUAUUCCGUCAUAUAGCUGUGUAGUAUUCUGCUGCAUGAUUAUAGCACAAUUUGUUUAGCCAUUUACCUGUUGAGGGAUAUUUAAAUUAUUUUGAGCUUGGGUCAUUAUGAAUAAAGCCACUGUGAAUAUUUGCA
rnacentral:lncRNA from 12 species